GGGGCCAGGCCGCUGACGUAAUUCUUGAUCUGUGACCGCCCGGUAGCGCACCCGGGUGCCGCCCACGCACCCAGCGUCAUUCUCUCCUCCCGGAUUAGAUUUUAAGCUCCAGCACCAGAAUCUUGGAAUCCAGGGAGGACAGAUGGGGGGCGGGGAGCGACUUCCGCCCUGUCAUCUCCUGAAAAUGCUCCCGGGGUCAUUUAUGGGAAAAGUAAAAUCCUUAGGAAUCUAUGAGGAAGCAGGAUAGGGAAGUGGGUGAAGAGGGGCCACGUCCCAGCCCUUCCAUCCCGGCGACUCGCUCCUUUCGCCCCCGCUCCAGGAGCUUCAGACUCUUCCCCCUCCCACUCCUGGGCAGCGGCGAGGAGCCCGUGGUCCAGCAGGCUCGGCCAUGUGGCGAAGUUGCCAGCCCUGGGUCGGCAAGGGCCCAGCCGGUCUUUCUGCACGUAGCUCUGGUGUGGAGGCAGAAGUCUCCAACAGCCACUGGCAAGCAGGACCCCUGAGAGCCCCGUCUGACGGUCCCUGUGGCCCCUCCAUCUCCUCUACGUGACCCCAUCCGUAUAACCCUUGCCAGGCUCCUGUGAUCAAGAGCCAAGGUCGCUAUGCUCAUUUUACAGAUGAGGAAACCGAGUCUCAGAGCCGUUGAGCUGGGCAGAUGACUGGAGAGUGAGUGGAGAGCGCAGAGGGCAGAAACAGGUCUCACUGAGUUGCUCAGGGCCUCCUUAAGUUGCUGAGGGUGGCUUUGAACCCACCAUCCUCCUGUCUGCGUGCACCAUCACCCAGCUAGACGAUGCAAUCUUGCUUCCUGCGCUCUCCACACCGAGGACGGCUCAGAAUCACCAUCUUGCACCCUGUGCCUUCAGCCCUGUAAGCAUGUCCCUUCGACUUCAGGCAUUUGGAGUGGCUGAGAGACCCCCACAGAAGUCUUUGUUACGUGCAUGUUAAAUAGGAUUUUGGCUAUUUGGAAAUAGGGUCUUUGCAGAUGUCGUUGAGUUACGGAUCUUAAGAUAAGCUCAUCCUGGAUUUCGGAUGGGCCCUACAUCCAGGGACAGAUCUCCUUGUAAGAGAAAAGAAGGACCUUCCAGACAUGGAGAUGUGCAGGGAAGAGGCGUGUGAGGAGGAGGCAGAGACCGGGUCUUGGCACCCUCCCCCACACCACGGCCCCCUCCUGGGCCGGCAGGAACUUUCCACCCGACUCCCGCUGUCCACGGAAGCAGGCCUCCUGAGCUGGGCAGGAUGAGUGGGGCCCACCAGUGAGGAGGGCCUCGGGCUGCCCCGAGGGCUCACAGGUGGGAACUGUACAGGGGGAGGGAGCCCAGGAGGCCGGGAGCCUGGAGACAGAAGUGAGGGCACCAAGGGACCAAGGCUCUGUCCCUGGCUGGAAGGCUAACAUCUCCUCAGCUUUAGAGGGACAGCAAGGCGGCUUCCCGCGCACAGAGCCACACACCCACGGGUGCGGAGUGGGGGCGGCCAGGGCAGCAGGCAGUGCCGUGGAGCGGCCUCUGCGCAUGCGCACUGCUGAGCUGUGGGGCUGGAGAACCCACCUCACGGAGGGUCUGCUUUUCAGUUCCAAGGUUCCUGGAGCUCCUGAGACCCACCCCUUCCCUUCCUAGAUCCCUAGGACCCCCCAAGCCCACCACUGCCACUCACUUGAAUUGUGGGAUGUCCCUGCACAGCUCCACGUUGGGCCGCCGCGUGCGGCACGCCAGCCUGGUCUGUGCCACCUUCAGCGGGCACUCCUUGGCCACGAUGGCCCUCUCCAGCAGCAUGAUGGUGUUCUCAGCCUGGAAGAUCUCCUGCAGCGUCUGUGGGGACCACGAGGCAGUCACCACCAGGACUCUCUGGCCUCCUCCCACUUCGGGCCUGGCAGGAGCUGAGGCCAACUCAGGCAGCCUCUGGCCAGGGCUUGAUUACUCUCCCCCGCCCCUGAGCCCUGUGAAGCACUGGGGAGCAGUUUCAGGCUCCCUGACCACCACAGCCCACUGCUGGAGAUGAGCCAGGCCAAGGCUGCUCUCCUCUUAAUCUCCAGAAUCUACGGUGCAGCCAAUUAGUGUUCAGUGGGAAGACAGGGAAGGGAGGGGGCGUGAAGGUUAACGUGGAGCCUCCAGAACAGCAGCUGAUCUCCAAAACCGUCUUCAUCUGAAUCCGCGUGGGCUGCUCUGUAUCUUUUUACGAUCCAGAACUUACUUUCCUAGUAACUAGGUCAGUAAGUGAAGAAGAAAGAGACACAAUUUUCAACUUAUCCGUAGAGACAUUUUGUCCACUAAAAUGCCACCAUUGUCCUACAGUUGGUAGAAGUACAGAUCCAGGCAGGGGUGGAGAGCUCCGAGUCCUGCUCUGAGCGGAGGUUUUACAGGUACAAACCCAGGAAGAACUAACUCGUCAGCUGGGUUCGUCAGGCUGUGCACUUGAUAAUAAGCCUGCUGCGCCUCCACAGAAAAUAGCACGAAAAUCAGAAAGCGGUCAGUCACGAGGAAAGCCUGGACACCUGUGUUGGGCACAUGGGAGUCUUCUGAUUCUCUCUGCUUCUGUGUGUAGGAAAGUGUCCAUAAUAAAGAACAGAAUGAGAGCGCCAACAGAGACUGGGCACACCAGGAUGGCCCAUUACCAGAAGGACCCGACCUUGAACUUGGCCCACCGUAAGCAUACCAGGGAUGGAGCCAACGGCACUGAACGGAGGUCACACCCUGCUGUCACCCAGUGGCCCCAGAUCUGAGAGUAGCUAUGUGUUUCUGGGAGUCCCUCUCCUGCAAGGAGGCUCUUUGUGGGAGGGUUGUGCUGGUAGGACCCCCAUGGUGAGGACACGUGUCCACUCCCGACAGGCCUAGAGGUGACCCUGCCAUGAUGGCCCCAAAGCCCAGAAGGGUGUGCUGACAUUAUCCAUCGCCACAGAGCUCGGUUUCACUUGACCCAGAGAUUCAAUACCAUUUAAGAAGCCCACUCACCAGCUCUACCAGUAACUGCUCAGGGGGGUCACUGCUUGAGACCAGCCUGCCCUUCUGUGGGGGGCAUUCGCUUUGUGUGCCGCCAUCUUAAAACCCAACUAUGUUUGCUGUGUGCCGCCAUCUUGAAACCAGACAACAGCUAGAAAUGUCUUUUCUGCAUCUACUGUGAGUAUAAUAAAUGAGGAGUGUAAAUUCAAAGAAACAGUGAUUGCAAACUAGUAGGAAAUUCCCAUCAUCAAAACCAUGGAGGUCUGAGGAGAGAGAUAGGGAGGCCUGAGGAUGAGAAAAGAUCACUGACAUCGGAGAGCCAGUGAAAUUCAGGACACCCAGUCAAGUUUGAAUUUCAGAUAAACAACUGAGCACUCCUGAGUGUGUGUGUCCCACAGUGAACUGAUGGAGUGUGUUCUCUCAAGCUUUACACACUGGAACCCUAAUUCCAACGUGUUGGCAUUUGGAGAUGGAGCAUUCGGGAAGUGAUUAGGUCGUGAGAAUGGCGUCCUAUGAACAGGGUGGUGCCUUGUAGCAGGGCAGAGAGACACCUCCAUCUCUUCCACCACAAGAAGCCAGCAGUUUGCAGUCUAGAGGUCAGCCCCCCCAGCACCGGGCUGUGCUGAUACCCCGAUGGUGGACUUGGAGCUUCCAGAACUGCCGGAAAUAAAUGUCAUCGUUUAUAAGCCACCUCGUCUGGGGUACCUUAGUUAUAAAACCCCAACAGACUCAUCUCCCAUCGCAGGAGAUACACUGACACUCAAAAUGAUUUACUGUUGAUCUGAUAUUGAGGUUUAACUGAGUGUCCUGCAUUUUUAUUUG